CGAAAGCCUGAUGGAGCAACGCCGCGUGGGUGAAGAAGGUCUUCGGAUCGUAAAACCCUGUUGUUAGAGAAGAAAGUGCGUGAGAGUAACUGUUCACGUUUCGACGGUAUCUAACCAGAAAGCCACGGCUAACUACGUGCCAGCAGCCGCGGUAAUACGUAGGUGGCAAGCGUUAUCCGGAUUUAUUGGGCGUAAAGGGAACGCAGGCGGUCUUUUAAGUCUGAUGUGAAAGCCUUCGGCUUAACCGGAGUAGUGCAUUGGAAACUGGGAGACUUGAGUGCAGAAGAGGAGAGUGGAACUCCAUGUGUAGCGGUGAAAUGCGUAGAUAUAUGGAAGAACACCAGUGGCGAAAGCGGCUCUCUGGUCUGUAACUGACGCUGAGGUUCGAAAGCGUGGGUAGCAAACAGGAUUAGAUACCCUGGUAGUCCACGCCGUAAACGAUGAAUGCUAAGUGUUGGAGGGUUUCCGCCCUUCA
rnacentral:rRNA from 1 species